GACGAACGCUGGCGGCGUGCCUAAUACAUGCAAGUCGAACGAAGCUGUUUUAACUGGUGCUUGCACCGACUUAAACAACUGAGUGGCGAACGGGUGAGUAACACGUGGGUAACCUGCCCCAAAGCGGGGGAUAACAUUUGGAAACAGAUGCUAAUACCGCAUAACCACAGAAACCACAUGGUUUCUGUGUCAAAGAUGGUUUCGGCUAUCACUUUGGGAUGGACCCGCGGCGUAUUAGCUAGUUGGUAAGGUAAUGGCUUACCAAGGCAAUGAGACGUAGCCGAACUGAGAGGUUGAACGGGCACAUUGGGACUGAGACACGGCCCAAACUCCUACGGGAGGCAGCAGUAGGGAAUCUUCCACAAUGGACGAAAGUCUGAUGGAGCAACGCCGCGUGAGGGAAGAAGGUUUUCGGAUCGUAAAGCUCUGUUGUCAGUGAAGAACGUGUGCGAGAGUAACUGCUCGUGCAGUGACGGUAUCUGGCCAGAAAGCCACGGCUAACUACGUGCCAGCCGCCGCCGUAA
rnacentral:rRNA from 1 species